rfam:Stegodyphus mimosarum contig59366, whole genome shotgun sequence.
AAAAAGGCUCUUUUCAGAGCCAGCAAAUAAUGUAAAAGGAAAGCUUU